UGCCAGACUCCUACGGGAGGCAGCAGUGAGGAAUAUUGGUCAAUGGGCGCGAGCCUGAACCAGCCAAGUCGCGUGAGGGAAGACGGUCCUAUGGAUUGUAAACCUCUUUUGUCGGGGAGCAAAAGACGCCACGCGUGGCGUUCCGAGAGUACCCGAAGAAAAAGCAUCGGCUAACUCCGUGCCAGCAGCCGCGGUAAUACGGAGGAUGCGAGCGUUAUCCGGAUUUAUUGGGUUUAAAGGGUGCGCAGGCGGAAUGUCAAGUCAGCGGUAUAAUUUCGGGGCUCAACCCCGUCGUGCCGUUGAAACUGGCGUUCUUGAGUGAGCGAGAAGUAUGCGGAAUGCGUGGUGUAGCGGGGAAAUGCAUAGAUAUCACGCAGAACUCCGAUUGCGAAGGC
rnacentral:rRNA from 1 species